UACGGAGGGUGCAAGCGUUAUCCGGAUUCACUGGGUUUAAAGGGUGCGUAGGUGGCUUUUUAAGUCAGGGGUGAAAGACGGUAGCUUAACUAUCGCAGUGCCUUUGAUACUGAAGAGCUUGAAUGAACUAGAGGUAGGCGGAAUGUGACAAGUAGCGGUGAAAUGCAUAGAUAUGUCACAGAACACCAAUUGCGAAGGCAGCUUACUAUGGUUUUAUUGACACUGAGGCACGAAAGCGUGGGGAGCAAACAGG
rnacentral:rRNA from 1 species